GAAGCGACCCCGGUGAACUCAAAUAUCUAAGUAACCAGAGGAAAAGAAAUCAACCGAGAUUCCGUAAGGAGCGACGAGCGAACGCGGACUAGCCCUUAAGCUGAUUUGGUUCUAGGAAAACGCUCUGGAAAGAGCGGCCAUAGAAGGUGAUAGCCCUGUAUCUGAAAGGGCCAUUUCAGUGAAGACGAGUAGGGCGGGGCACGUGAAACCCUGUCUGAACAUGGGGGGACCAUC
rnacentral:rRNA from 1 species